UGCUUCCGGUGCGGAGGUCAGGGACAAGAUGGUGCCACCGGUGCAGGUCUCUCCGCUCAUCAAGCUCGGCCGCUACUCCGCCCUGUUCCUCGGUGUGGCCUACGGAGCCACGCGCUACAAUUACCUAAAACCUCGGGCAGAAGAGGAGAGGAGGAUAGCAGCAGAAGAGAAGAAGAAGCAGGAUGAACUGAAACGGAUUGCCAGAGAAUUGGCAGAAGAUGACAGCAUAUUAAAGUGAG
rnacentral:misc_RNA from 1 species